rnacentral:rRNA from 1 species
UGCCAGCAGCCGCGGUAAUACGGGGGGAGCAAGCGUUGUCCGGAAUUAUUGGGCGUAAAGCGCGUGUAGGCGGUUCGUUAAGUCUGAUGUGAAAGCCCGGGGCUCAACCCAGGACGUGCAUUUGAUACUGUUAGGCUUGAGUACCGGAGAGGGUUGUGGAAUUCCUGGUGUAGUGGUGAAAUUCGUAGAUAUCAGGAGGAACACCGAUGGCGAAGGCAUCUCUCUGGGCCGAUAUUGACGCUGAGGCGCGAAAGCGUGGGUAGCGAACGGGAUUAGAUA